AUGCCUUUGUUUAUUCCCACCCUUCUUUUAUUUCCUGCUUUAUUCCCAUCUUUAUUUCCUGGUCUGUUCCCAUCUUUAUUUUAUUUCCAUCCUUAUUUUAUUUCCUGCUUUAUUCCCAUCCUUUAUUCUGUUUCCUGCUUUGUUCCCAUCCUUAUUUUAUUAUAUUUCCUGGUUAUUCCCAUCCUUAUUUUAUUGUAUUUCUUGCUUUAUUCCCACCCUUAUUUUAUUUUCUUUCCUGCUUUGUUCCCAUCCUUAUUUUCUUUCCUAGUUUAUUCCCAUCCUUAUUUUAUUUCCUGGUUAUUCCCAUCCUUAUUUUAUUUUAUUUUAUUUCCUGAUUUAUUCCCGCCCUUAUUUUAUUCCCUGGUUUUGUACAAUAUUGGAGCAGCUCCUGCAGCAGUGGUGGUUCUGUGUUUGUAAAUAAAGAGGUACCUUCCGUUUCCUAAAAUCCACGGGUAAAUCUUGGCUUUUCCAUGGAAAAGUUGGGGGUUCCUGUCGUGCUGGAAUUCGGGGAUCUUUCAAACACGCCGCGUUUGGGGUUUUUAGGGUAUUUUUUGUUGGUUUUAGUGAAGGGAGAGGAGUAAAACCAAACGCUGAGCGCUCAGGGAAUGGAAUUCCCAGCCAGGGAAUGUCCCAGGCCAGGCUGGGCGAGGUUUGGAGCAUCCUGGGAUGGUGGAAUUGUGGGAUUUGAGGUCCCUUCCCACCCAGAGCAGUCUGGAAUUCCCAGAUCCCUGAGUGCGCUCGGAGCUGGACGUGGAG
rnacentral:lncRNA from 1 species